UACGGAGGGGGCUAGCGUUGUUCGGAAUUACUGGGCGUAAAGCGCACGUAGGCGGCUUUGUAAGUUAGAGGUGAAAGCCCAGGGCUCAACCCUGGAAUUGCCUUUAAGACUGCAUCGCUUGAACAUCGGAGAGGUAAGUGGAAUUCCGAGUGUAGAGGUGAAAUUCGUAGAUAUUCGGAAGAACACCGGUGGCGAAGGCGGCCCACUGGUCCGGUACUGACGA
rnacentral:rRNA from 1 species